UACAGGGGGGGCAAGCGUUGUUCGGAAUUACUGGGCGUAAAGGGCUCGUAGGCGGCCAACUAAGUCCGACGUGAAAUCCCAAAGCUUAACUUUGGAACUGCGUCGGAUACUGGAUGGCUUGAAUUCGGGAGAGGGAUGCAGAAUUCCAGGUGUAGCGGUGAAAUGCGUAGAUAUCGUAAGGAAGACCAGUGGCGAAGGCGGGUCUCUGGACAGUUCCUGACGCUGAGGCACGAAAGCGUGGGGAGCAAACAGG
rnacentral:rRNA from 1 species